rnacentral:rRNA from 1 species
GCUGAUGCGUUGUUGGGUAGGGGAGCGUUCUGUAAGCCUGCGAAGGUGGCCUGUGAGGGUUGCUGGAGGUAUCAGAAGUGCGAAUGCUGACAUAAGUAACGAUAAAGCGGGUGAAAAGCCCGCUCGCCGGAAGACCAAGGGUUCCUGUCCAACGUUAAUCGGGGCAGGGUGAGUCGACCCCUAAGGCGAGGCCGAAAGGCGUAGUCGAUGGGAAACGGGUUAAUAUUCCCGUACUUGGUGUUACUGCGAAGGGGGGACGGAGAAGGCUAUGUUGGCCGGGCGACGGUUGUCCCGGUUUAAGCGUGUAGGCUGGUUUUCCAGGCAAAUCCGGAAAAUCAAGGCUGAGGCGUGAUGACGAGGCACUACGGUGCUGAAGCAACAAAUGCCCUGCUUCCAGGAAAAGCCUCUAAGCAUCAGGUAACAUCAAAUCGUACCCCAAACCGACACAGGUGGUCAGGUAGAGAAUACCAAGGCGCUUGAGAGAACUCGGGUGAAGGAACUAGGCAAAAUGGUGCCGUAACUUCGGGAGAAGGCACGCUGACACGUAGGUGAAGUGAUUUACUCAUGGAGCUGAAGUCAGUCGAAGAUACCAGCUGGCUGCAACUGUUUAUUAAAAACACAGCACUGUGCAAACACGAAAGUGGACGUAUACGGUGUGACGCCUGCCCGGUGCCGGAAGGUUAAUUGAUGGGGUCAGCGCAAGCGAAGCUCCUGAUCGAAGCCCCGGUAAACGGCGGCCGUAACUAUAACGGUCCUAAGGUAGCGAAAUUCCUUGUCGGGUAAGUUCCGACCUGCACGAAUGGCGUAAUGAUGGCCAGGCUGUCUCCACCCGAGACUCAGUGAAAUUGAACUCGCUGUGAAGAUGCAGUGUACCCGCGGCAAGACGGAAAGACCCCGUGAACCUUUACUAUAGCUUGACACUGAACAUUGAGCCUUGAUGUGUAGGAUAGGUGGGAGGCUUUGAAGUGUGGACGCCAGUCUGCAUGGAGCCGACCUUGAAAUACCACCCUUUAAUGUUUGAUGUUCUAACGUGGACCCGUUACCCGGGUUGCGGACAGUGUCUGGUGGGUAGUUUGACUGGGGCGGUCUCCUCCUAAAGAGUAACGGAGGAGCACGAAGGUUGGCUAAUCCUGGUCGGACAUCAGGAGGUUAGUGCAAUGGCAUAAGCCAGCUUGACUGCGAGCGUGACGGCGCGAGCAGGUGCGAAAGCAGGUCAUAGUGAUCCGGUGGUUCUGAAUGGAAGGGCCAUCGCUCAACGGAUAAAAGGUACUCCGGGGAUAACAGGCUGAUACCGCCCAAGAGUUCAUAUCGACGGCGGUGUUUGGCACCUCGAUGUCGGCUCAUCACAUCCUGGGGCUGAAGUAGGUCCCAAGGGUAUGGCUGUUCGCCAUUUAAAGUGGUACGCGAGCUGGGUUUAGAACGUCGUGAGACAGUUCGGUCCCUAUCUGCCGUGGGCGCUGGAGAACUGAGGGGGGCUGCUCCUAGUACGAGAGGACCGGAGUGGACGCAUCACUGGUGUUCGGGUUGUCAUGCCAAUGGCACUGCCCGGUAGCUAAAUGCGGAAGAGAUAAGUGCUGAAAGCAUCUAAGCACGAAACUUGCCCCGAGAUGAGUUCUCCCUGAGACUUAGAGUCUCCUGAAGGAACGUUGAAGACGACGACGUUGAUAGGCCGGGUGUGUAAGCGCAGCGAUGCGUUGAGCUAACCGGUACUAAUGAACCGUGAGGCUUAACCUUACAACGCCG